rnacentral:tRNA from 1 species
CUUUUAGCUCAAUUGGUUAGAACAGACGGCUCAUACCCAUCCAGUCGCAGGUUCAGACCCUACAAGG